AGAUAGAUAGUUAUUAAUUUUAAGUAGUUUAUAGUUAUUUUUAUAAAAAUAUUUUUUAGUUUAAUUAAUUUUAUUGAAAGAAUAAUUGAUAAUUAUAGUUUAAUGUAUUGAGAAAGAAAUUAUUUUUUUAUAUAAAAGAAGAAUUUAUUAUUUGUACCUUGGGUAUCAGGGUUUAUUAAGUUUUUUUUUGUAUUUUUAAAUAUUCUCGAAUUUAAUAAGAGCUAUAAGGCUAAAUUGGUAUAUGUAGAAAAAUAUUAUUUAAUAGGUUUAUAGAAACAAAAAGUUACUCUAUUUUAAAUAUAUCUAGUUUUUUAAGAAAUUAAUUUAAUUAAAUUUUUUAUAUAAUAAAAUUUUAUUUAUUAAAAUUUUAUUUUUAAAAGGUUAUAAUAAAAGGGCUAAUCUUUUUAUUAAAUGUAAUAUAAUUUAAGGUUUAAUUUAUUUAAUAAAUAGAAUUAAAAGUUUUUACUUAUAAAGAGUUAUAUCUAGUUUAUUUAUAUACUAAAAUUUAUAUAAGAAUUUAUUUUUUUUAUUAAAAAAUAAGAUUUAGUUAAUUAUUUUUAUUUAAAAUGAUAAAAUUAGUAUAAUAAAUUUUGAGAUAUUUUUAUAUUUAAAAUUUAAGGUCAAUAAAAAGAAUUAGGCAAACAAAUUUUCACCUGUUUAUUAAAAACAUGUCCUUUUGGUAUUUAUAUAAGGUCUAAUCUGCUCCAUGAUUAUUUAAUUAAAUAGCCGCAGUAUUUUGACUGUGCUAAGGUAGCAUAAUCAAUAGUUUAUUAAUUAUAAGCUUGAAUGAAAGAUUGAAUGAGAAAUUAACUGUUUUAUACUGAAUUAAUUAGAAAUUUAUUUUUAAGUGAAAAAGCUUAGAUAUUUAUAAAAGACAAGAAGACCCUAUAGAGUUUUAUAAAAAUUUUAAUUUUUUAAAAUUAAUGUGUUAUUAUUUUAUGAUUAAAGUUAUAAUUGAUUGGGGUGAUUAAUGAAUUAAAUUAAUUUUAUUAUUUAAGUUUACAUUUUUAUAUGAAAAAUUUGAUCCUUAUAAGAAGAUUAAUAGAAAAAAUUACCUUAGGGAUAACAGCGUAAUUUUUUUUUAGAGUUCAGAUUAAAAAAAAAGUUUGCGACCUCGAUGUUGGAUUAAGAUUAAUUUAUUUUGGUGUAGAAGCUAUAAAAUUAGGUCUGUUCGACCUUUAAAAUCUUACAUGAUCUGAGUUUAAACCGGCGUGAGCCAGGUUGGUUUCUAUCUUUAUAAAAUUUAUUUAUGUUAGUACGAAAGGACCAUAUAAAUUUAAUAAUUAGAAAUUAAUGAGUUAAAAUUAAUAUA
rnacentral:rRNA from 1 species